rnacentral:piRNA from 1 species
UGUGACAAAAUGCCUGAGAAAAAUCACUUA